GACGUAGGUGGCGAACGUUAUCCGGAAUCAUUGGGCGUAAAGCGUGCGUAGGUGGUUUGUUAAGUCUGUUGUGAAAGCCCCGGGCUCAACCUGGGAAUGGCAAUGGAUACUGGCAGGCUAGAGUGCGGUAGAGGGUAGUGGAAUUCCCGGUGUAGCGGUGAAAUGCGUAGAGAUCGGGAGGAACACCAGUGGCGAAGGCGGCUACCUGGGCCAGCACUGACACUGAGGCACGAAAGCGUGAGGAGCAAACAGU
rnacentral:rRNA from 1 species